GACCUAGGCGGCGCCCUCCCUCUCUCUUCCUCCCCCGUGCGGAUCUCUCUUUCUCCCCCUCUCCUCUCAGAAGUCAGAACCGAUAGCCUCCCUCCCUCCCUCUUCCUUGGCAGGCUCCCUCCCUCCUUAGCUCUCCCUCGACGUCGAGCUCGCAAAUCCGGCUACCCCCUCCCUCCCUCUCCACUCAGAUCCGGUGUAGGUACAGCGAGCUCCCUCUCCCUUGGUGGCGCGUGGCUAUAAGUGUGCGAGCGGGCAGAUCCGGCGGCUGCUUCCCUCCCUUUCUCCCUCUCCGCUCAGAUCCGGCGCAGGUAUGGCGAGCUCCCUCCCUCCCUCUCGCUCGGCAGCAUGUGCGGGCUCAGAUCUAGCGCACGUAUGGUGAGCUCCCUCCCUCUCCCUCGGCAGCGUGCAUGGGCGGCCACAUCCGGUAGCAACCCCUUGCUUCGGCCAGCGCUACGAUGGUGGACACGAUCUAGCGCAGUGGAUUCCCCCAAGUGUGGUUUGCUCAGUUUGCCGAUUUGUCUGGGAUGCUUAAUUGCCUAGUGGUCAUAUUUCACCCUUUGGUUCAUGAUGAAAAUGUCCACUGGGGACGAAGAUUCUACAAGAGGCGUUUGGUGAGGCUAUCUCUGAAUUGCGGCAAUAUGAUCAAGGUGCUCAUGGUGGCUAUUUUUGUUAGUGAUAAAAGAUUUAGUUGUCCGAGCAAAUCAUAAGAGUUAUGUGUUGUACAAGCCAACAUCUUAGUUUUGUAGGAACUUGAGUGUAGCUUGGUUAUUGCCUUAGUAUUUCGUGUGAAAUAUUGUACAAGUACACAGAUUGAUAGUUUCAAUAAAAAUGAUGAGCAAUAUUUGUCAA